rnacentral:rRNA from 1 species
CCUACGGGCGGCAGCAGUGGGGAAUAUUGGGCAAUGGGCGCAAGCCUGACCCAGCAACGCCGCGUGAAGGAAGAAGGCUCUCGGGUUGUAAACUUCUUUUAUCAGGGACGAAGCAAGUGACGGUACUUGAUGAAUAAGCCACGGCUAACUACGUGCCAGCAGCCGCGGUAAUACGUAGGUGGCAAGCGUUAUCCGGAUUUACUGGGUGUAAAGGGAGUGUAGGCGGGAAAGCAAGUCAGAUGUGAAAACCAUGGGCUCAACCUGUGGCCUGCAUUUGAGACUGGUUUUCUUGAGUGCUGGAGAGGCAGACGGAAUUCGUAGUGUAGCGGUGAAAUGCGUAGAUAUUAGGAAGAACACCGGUGGCGAAGGCAGUCUGCUGGACAGCAACUGACGCUGAGGCGCGAAAGCGUGGGGAGCAAACAGGAUUAGAUACCCCUGUAGUC